AUGAACGCUGGCGGCGUGCCUAAUACAUGCAAGUCGAGCGAACGGACGAGAAGCUUGCUUCUCUGAUGUUAGCGGCGGACGGGUGAGUAACACGUGGAUAACCUACCUAUAAGACUGGGAUAACUUCGGGAAACCGGAGCUAAUACCGGAUAAUAUUUUGAACCGCAUGGUUCAAAAGUGAAAGACGGUCUUGCUGUCACUUAUAGAUGGAUCCGCGCUGCAUUAGCUAGUUGGUAAGGUAACGGCUUACCAAGGCAACGAUGCAUAGCCGACCUGAGAGGGUGGUCGGCCACACGGGAGCGGAGACAGGGUCCAGACUCCUACGGGAGGCAGCAGUAGGGAAUCUUCCGCAGUGGGCGAAAGCCUGACGGAGCAACGCCGCGUGAGUGAUGAAGGUCUUCGGAUCGUAAAACUCUGUUAUUAGGGAAGAACAUAUGUGUAAGUAACUGUGCACAUCUUGACGGUACCUAAUCAGAAAGCCACGGCUAACUACGUG
rnacentral:rRNA from 1 species